rnacentral:tRNA from 1 species
AGACCGGUAGCUCAGUCAGGCAAGAGCGCGCGGCUCAUAAUCGCGAGGAUGGCCGUUCGAAUCGGCCCCGGUCUACCA